rnacentral:rRNA from 1 species
AUUGAACGCUGGCGGCAUGCCUUACACAUGCAAGUCGAACGGUAACAGGUCUUCGGAUGCUGACGAGUGGCGAACGGGUGAGUAAUACAUCGGAACGUGCCCGAUCGUGGGGGAUAACGCAGCGAAAGCUGUGCUAAUACCGCAUACGAUCUACGGAUGAAAGCGGGGGAUCGCAAGACCUCGCGCGGACGGAGCGGCCGAUGGCAGAUUAGGUAGUUGGUGGGAUAAAAGCUUACCAAGCCGACGAUCUGUAGCUGGUCUGAGAGGACGACCAGCCACACUGGGACUGAGACACGGCCCAGACUCCUACGGGAGGCAGCAGUGGGGAAUUUUGGACAAUGGGCGCAAGCCUGAUCCAGCCAUGCCGCGUGCAGGAUGAAGGCCUGGUUGUAACUAGCUUUGUUACGGUAACGAAAAAGACGUACUCU